rnacentral:rRNA from 1 species
GGAGUCUGGGCCGUAUCUCAGUCCCAAUGUGGCCGAUCACCCUCUCAGGCCGGCUACCGAUCGUCGCCUUGGUGGGCCGUUGCCCCGCCAACUAGCUAAUCGGACGCAAGCUCAUCCCAUGCCGAUAAAUCUUUCGUCAACUCCCUAUGCAGGGAGCCACUAUAUCCGGUAUUACCCGCGCGUUGGCACGGCUAUUCCCGGGCAUGGGGCAGAUUGCUUACGCGUUACUCACCCGUUCGCCGCUAUGCAUUGCUGCACCGCUCGACUUGCAUGUAUAAGACACGCCACCAGCGUUCGUU